rnacentral:rRNA from 1 species
GUUAUUUUGGCAGAUUAGUGUAUUUGAUUUAGAAUCAUUUUAAGUAAAGUUUUAUUACAAGUAAUAUUUGAUAUUUGUUGAUAUAAGGUUAGUCUUAUUUUGUAUAAUUAUUUUAAUAGUUUUUGUUCUUGUUGGAGUAGCUUUUUUUACAUUAUUGGAACGAAAAGUUUUAGGAUAUAUUCAAAUUCGUA